UACGCCUCUCUCUCUUUCCACUCUCACUCAAACUCUCCUUGUCCUCAGCCACCUUCCUUUCCCCCGCCCGUAUCCUCUUUCUCCCCUUCUUCUGCACGCAGCAGCACCGUCGUCCCCCGAUCACCAACGAUCGUCAAAUUAUACCUCCAAAAUCCUUUUUCUGUCCUCCUUCCAACCCCCAAGUUAAUUUCUAUAAAUUCAUAGCCGGAUUUCCUCAAUUUCAGAUCUAAGCAACGGUGACCGCAUAUUUUUUGGCCAGUUUUCGUCCAAGCCUGGCAGAAUUGGACCUCGACCCUAGAGGUAAAGAUGAUCAUCUCUCAGUGAGCUAUCCUCUAGUUUAAUGAAAGGUGCCAAAAACUCAGUUGGGUUCCCACAAUGUAAGGUCCCAUGAGGCAAAGGUUCAUAUGCAAGCAUCCGGCUUGUGACAGAUUUUAGGCAUAUUAAGGCAGUCUUAUCAGAUUUUAGUUAUCCUAAACUGUAAUCCAGUGUCACUCCGAUGGAUUGAGUUUUGUGAUCUAGCUAAACUACCCAUGAUCAAUCACAUGAACAAAUCAUACAGUGAGAGCUCCAAAUACUACACAUAUCAUCCGGAUUAGUUUGUUUGUGGAGCAAAGAUUGGAUGAGAUGCAAAACUGGGGAAUAUAAGCAAGGAAGAUGAUUGCAUUAUCCACCAAGCUGGAAAAAAGAGGUGAAAUCAGUUUUGCCUGGCUAUAUAUAGAGAUGCAUGGAUUGCUGAAGUUCUGUUGGAUAUAUCAGUUUUGCCUGGCUGAAGUACACGUUUUUUUAUGAGGAAAUACUUGUAUACUUUCAUUAAUGAUAUUCCACUUUUACUGUUUGGUUCAUUCUAGCAGCUGAAGUCGUUGGUUUUCAUUUUAUGAAAUUUUUUAUCUUUCGUUUUGCUUAAA